AAAAUUGGUGACCAAGUGGCGUGGCUUCACUAAAAGACUUUCUUACUUGACAGCUUUUUCAUAUUCGUGAUGAACAGUCGAGUCGCAAUAAUUAACCCACUAUAGAAAGAAUGCAUCGACGUGUAGUCUACGGCUAGAGGAGCAUCCACGUGGCUGUUCUAAACAUCAAACGACAUGUAAUACUACGUCAUCGCGUUGAGUCACUUUGGUGUCAUCAUCCACUGGAUCCUGCGUGCCCCGUCUCAUGUGCAUAUUACGAUGAUUUUUUCAUUAAUGGGGUCAUUUAAGCAUGAGUUUACAUCUAACUCGUCUCUCUAACUUGUUGGAAGUCCAUGGAACAGGAGGAGAUCCCUUCGAUUUAGAUAACGAUUCAAAUUUUAUAUUUGAUAUAUUCUCAUGUGGGCGUGACAUGAUAGACUUAUUAUUCAAUUUGAUUAGCCUACAAUACAUACAGUAUCAUGUCAAAGAGAAUAUCAAGGAGCAAAGAUCAAAGAUCAAGGAGGAGAUCACAAAAGAGGAAAUCAUCAAAAGAAGACCAAACACAAAUUGAUUCAUAUAAUUGUUUUAAGGCUCAUUUACAGUGUUUUGGCAGCCGUCACGUACAGAUCAGUGAGCUUUUGGAAAAAUGGCAACAUGUCUCUUGUUUAUAUAUGCACACGAGGAAGGCAUGGCUCCUCUCUUGAAUUAGGGUGUGGUGUGGGGCCGGCCACUUGAAUUGGGAUCUGGAGUCAUUGUAGACGUAGAGUUUAGUAAGGUGACAACUGAUCUUGACUACGUGGAGAUAGAAUUCACUCAUGCUUAUCUACAUUAGUGCCAAAUUAAUAAUCUGCCUAUUAUUAUUUUGCUCAUAUAAUAUUUCAAACAAACGACAAACAUUAUCAUGAACGAUCUUGUUUUUAUUUGUGAUGAAGACUCGAGUCACGGCUCACAAUCCCAGGCCAAAUCUGCAUAGACAGGUUGAGGAAAGGAAAAGAGAGAGAAGUAAAGGUGUCCUUUUUAUUUGUAUUAUUAAUGCUUUGUGCCUAGUGGGUUGGUAGAAGGGUAAAACUGGCAAAUUAACGAGGGUGCUCAUCACGAUGAUUGGUUCGUCUCUAUUGGUUGGUGGAAGUCCAUGCCUUAAGGCCAUGGAACAUCCAACAUAAUUGAAUCCCAUGAUGAUGAUCGAUGGAUGCAUGCAUGGCUCAUGAUGGAGAUACAAAAUGUAAUGUCUCCAAAAUGUGUGAGUAGCAUGAACCACCGGAUAUACAUAGAGAGGAGAACUAAAGAUUGCAAUACAAGCAACUGGUUCUUGGAGAAAUUACUAACGUGAAAUAUGUUCGAGAUAUGAUUCGCGGUUGGAAGUUUUUAAAGAAAAAAAAAAUGUAUUUACAUAUACAA